UAUGACAACAUUGGAUUCCUUGGUCCUGUUCCCCCCAAACCCAAAGGUACUUUGUUUGUUGACUCGGGCGGAAAGCAGUUGAAGCCCGCUGUUGCAGACCAGGAGGAGGAGGACGGUACGCAAUGGAGCUGCACAGCCUGCACCUUCCUCAACCACCCAGCCCUCAACCGCUGUGAAGAGUGCGAGUUCCCGCGGCACUUCUGAGCCAAAAAAACAGGCCCUUUUCGUGCCCCGCUUGCCCCUCUUUAUCCUCUGUUCACCCCAACUCUCAAGGCCAUGCUUUGGUGCAGUCAUUGUGCGUUAAUUUUUUUUUUUUUUUUUUCCCCCCCGCCCCUUUUGUUUCCUCUUGAGUUUUCUCCUUAGUAUGCUGUCCACUGUAGGUUUUACUGGACAGUGUUUACAACUUGUGCCUCCUCCUGAAGGCUGCCAAAGUCAAAUAAUACCUCACCAGAAGGACUGAGAUUGCGUGGUGGGGGUCUGCCUUUUUUUUUUUUUUUUUUGUUAAAUAAAAAAAACUGCUCCACAGGUGACACUCUAGACCAGCGUUACCUCACUGCUUCCACUUACAGUAUUACAAGGGUGGCCCAGCAUUGUGACGGUACACAAACACACGCGGGUUCCUCUGUGUUUUUUUUUUUUUUUUUUUCCUUCCUUCUUUUGUGGUGGUGUAGGUGUGGGAUUUCUGAUUCUUGUUAAGCCUAUGCUUAACACCUAAUGUUGAGAAAAAAAAAACUAACAGACUACGCCUGGAAUUUUACAUUUGUCAAAGCAGGAACCUGCUUUCCCGGUCUUCUGCCCCUCCCCCCCUACCCCAUCUUGUCACUUGUGAUAGGUUGCAUGUCUGUGUACAGAGGCAGAAACUCCCCAUGAGCUUUUUUACUGUACAUAUUUUCGAAUGUGCAUUAAGAGUUGUCUUCCUCUUCACACUAUGAAUCACUUGUAUUUCUUGUAAGUAUACCUUUAUAGACUUUAAUAACUGUUUGUGAUUUUUUUUUUUCUCUCUCUCUCCCUCUUUUAAACAAAAAUGAGUGCCAUGCUCCCAUUGGAAGCUUUUAAUGUGAUAUUUGUACGAGCUGAGGCUUUACAGAAGGAGAGGAACAAAACAUUCAUUAUAAAAACACCUGCCGGCUCAGUUUUUUUUUUUUCCUGCUUUUGUCAUGGCUAUGGUUUCUGCAAAGGACUUGCAGAUGAAGCGGGGAGUUUAUUAUUUUGUAGUAAUUUUUUUUUUUUCUAUGCUUUUCUACAAGGACACCAAAUCUGUUCACUGUUUUGUGGCUGUUUGGAGAGUAAAGAAUGGGUCAAAAAAAAAAAAAAUGGGCAAAACACAUUGCUGGGUUAUGACAACUGGAAUGCAGGAUGUGACGUUUUGGGAGGAAAAAAGGACACCCUAUUGCAAAGAGGAAUUGUAUCUCCCGAGACAACUGGUGUGUUACGCAGAUCCAUAACACAAGUUAAGGUCAAAAUUCUUACACUUUAUGGUUGUUACAAAGACAUUUUAAAAAGUCAUCAGCGUAAAAGGAAACAAAGAAAUAAUGAUUUAGGGUCAAAAUGAGCACAGUUAUCAGAGAUGUCCGAUAACGUCGGCUGACUGAUAUUAGCAUAAUUAUGUAAUAUUGGUAAGAAUCGUUAUCAGUUUUUUUUUUUUCUCCGAUAAUGAAACCCCAAGAAUGCAAUGCCAGAUAUGCUGGAAUCACUUUAAAAAAAAAAUUGAUUUUGUACGAACAGUGCUACUUUGUGGAAUGCCUUUAGUCUGGCAUCGCAGUAAAAGUAGAUCAUGUGCUAAUUCCAUGACAGUAAGUAUGUGAUGUGACCUAAAAAUAGUUUGGGGGGAGAAAUGGCUGCAUGUAUCAGUAUCGGUUGAUAUAUCGGUAAUUACGUGUUUGGACAAUAUCGGCAUUUUGGAUAUCGGCAAAAAGCUAAUAUCGGACAUCCCUUACUCACCCUCUUAAGUCUGUUGUGACCUAAAAAGGAUGUUUCUAAAGUUUACUUGGCAAUACUUUACCUUAACCGUGGUUAAUUCCUCUUAGAUCUAUUGAAUAUGUAUUGGUUAUCAAUUUUGUGAAGUGCCAUUUCUAUAAAAUAAACCUUGCUCUUGUGUAACCAAUUUGAAAUUAUAAAAUGGUUGUCUCAAGUACAUAAACACCCCCCCCCAAUCCAAGAGAGAAAUUAGUUAUCUGCACCACGGUAUGAAGAGACAGGUUAUUCAUGUUUUGCUAAAUAGAAAGAAAUAUUUGGACAUCCAAGGUUUUUUUUUUUAGCUGGUAAGACCGUCGUUGUAAUAAGUUAUUUGUAAAAAUAAAAAUAAAAAAAAUCUAUUCUCAAA